ensembl:lncRNA
GACUACAAGACGAAAGAAUUGGAGAGCAUUGAUGACGCCAACAUCAUGUUUGACCCCGGUGUGACCUGAGGCCACGUGAGAACCUCGGUGACAAUUAAACUCAAAUACAUUCUUAAAGUCAUCCGACGUUGCUUACAGUUCCAACUAUCAGCGGCACAAAUGAUUACAAAGCUAAAAAAAUCACCCAGUUACGUCUUUCUAGGAGGUUUCUUAAACCAAAAUAAAUGAUUCAUCCUACUGGUCGCCCGCGGUCAUAGCUGCAACUGCAAACACUGUCCGCCUGGAGCCUGCUUUUAACAGCCCCGAUCCAACGCUGUUCUCCAGGACGAAGGAGGAGCACUUCCCCGGUUUCCUCAAUAGGAGGCUCCAGAGAUCAUGGAAUGGGCCCGCUCUCGCACUCUCUGUGGGCCUGCAGCCCAGCCUCCAGGACAGCCUCCAGCCAACUGUCCUGUCGCACACCCUCCACCGCCCAUCAUCACCACUCCCCCCCCCCAAAGCUACCACAGGCUCGGCUGCGACAACGGGCCACAUAUGGAAAUGCUUGAUUUGAUAUAGUGUCAUUUUACGUUGCAGAAAUGAGUGUAUGUAUGUUCUCCCCUUAUUUCUGUAGCCCACCGCCACCCUUAACCGCUGAGUGUGAAACGCGAUCCGGGGUUACUACUACGGGAAAAAGAACAUGGUAAACCAUUAUCUACAGGCGUAGGAAGAUUGCACAUUGGAGGUUGAGGAGAUAUGGUGCUUUAAAACAUUCCCCCCAGCUCCCUUUUCCCCCCAAGUCUGGGAAUGUUGCUACACUACACACGAUAAGAUACGACAAUAUGUUUUAGAGAUCUUGUGUGGAAAGUCUAUGGAGAACAUUUCUCUAUUUUUCUUUUUCCCCCUGGCCUAAUCUGCACACGUCUGUCGAUAUUGCACUUGGUGUGUAUUAUAGAACAAAUUACUACGGACACAUUGAUUCUGAGGACAGACCAAAGUGGGAUUUUAAGGGUUCACAGUAUGCUGUUGCAAGAACAGAUUUUCACCUCGUUCAGAUAAUCUGAAAUGUGUUCCAAAAGGACUUGGUUCAAAUUCGCUUUUAGCAACAAAGAAAAAUUUGGUCAUGGCAUAUUGGAAUUGGUACAGGGUUGGUGUCAGUUCAAAUCUGAGGUUGGAAACGGUCCAAAAUACAGGCAGAAGUUGUUAAAUUCGUUCUUCAAUUUUCCUACAGUGUUUCCCGAGACAGCAAGUCACAGGUGACUAACAGCACAGUUCCCCUAACCCUCUCUGCGUUAUAAAAUCCGGAUGUGUUGGUCCUUUCCAAGCAAUACACAGCGUGGAGCUAGCCUUAAAGAGUACAAACUCCAUGGUUUUGACAGACUGAUGUGCAUUGGGCUUCCCAGGCUGUUAGAUCGAGGGGCAACUGAGCAGGGGGUUGUUUGGAGGUGAUCCAGUGCCCAUCAAGUACAGUGCGGCUGAACCUCCCGCCAAGUUUGCCCUGGGACCACUGGAGAGAGAAAUAGAGUGAGGGGUACACCAUUAUGAUGUAAGCCAUCAACCUUUCCAAAUAACAGUGCCAGUUGUGAUUUCUUGAGAUUUUUCUGCACUCUUACCAGUGGUUCGUAGCACAGCGGCAUCAACAGAACCUAGUUUCCUCCUUAUUUGGCCUUUUGGUGGCAAUGUUUUGGGUCUAAGCUCAACGUUUCCAAAGGGGCUCCAGUGUUUAGCACUUCUGUCUGCAGCCCCCCUGCUGAGAUGGGAAGCGAAGGCCCAGAAACCAAACAAAACAACAGUAAACACAAAGAACUCAAACAUAGCAACUUCCCGAGGAGACUGCAUUGCCAGCGUGCAAAACAACACCCAUCUUUUGCCUUCCUCGCAAUUUGAAUUUUAUUGACUUAAAACGUAUAAUACUUUUCAUUGUAAC